rnacentral:misc_RNA from 1 species
AAGUCGUAACAAGGUUACCGUAGAUGAAUCUGCGGUAGGAUCAUUAACAAUGUAUCUCAACCUAUGUAUGUGCACUGUACCGUGAACUUGGCGCCGCUGAUUUCAUUGCUCUAAUGGGCGUGGGAUCAACGCGUCAAUGAAACUUUGUGUGAGAGUGUAAUUAAAAGUAAAUUAUAUACAACUUUUAGCAAUGGAUCUCUUGGCUCUC